UAGGGAAUCUUCCGCAAUGGACGCAAGUCUGACGGAGCAACGCCGCGUGAGUGAAGAAGGAUUUCGGUUCGUAAAACUCUGUUGUUAGAGAAGAACAGCGCAUAGAGUAACUGUUAUGCGUGUGACGGUAUCUAACCAGAAAGCCACGGCUAACUACGUGCCAGCAGCCGCGGUAAUACGUAGGUGGCAAGCGUUGUCCGGAUUUAUUGGGCGUAAAGCGAGCGCAGGCGGUCAAUUAAGUCUGAUGUGAAAGCCCCCGGCUCAACCGUGGAGGGUCAUUGGAAACUGGAAAACUUGAGUGCAGAAGAGGAAAGUGGAAUUCCAUGUGUAGCGGUGAAAUGCGCAGAGAUAUGGAGGAACACCAGUGGCGAAGGCGACUUUCUGGUCUGUAACUGACGCGGAUGUGCGAAAGCGUGGGGAUCAAACAGG
rnacentral:rRNA from 1 species